rnacentral:misc_RNA from 1 species
GGAUCUUGUUCCCAUUGGCAAUGACCUCGAACUCUUCCUGCAGGUUAUAAUUUUUGGUUGGCAAAGUUGUUUUGCAGAACAUAGUUUUGUUGAUGGAAUCCGUUUUUUAGGAAGAAAAACUCUUGUUUCUUAGACGUCUGCCAUUCAAUUAUUGUUGCUAACCUUUACUUCUCAAUAGUAUCAUCAAUUCAUUGUAGUUAUAAUCUUCUCCUUCAUUGAACAUUACAACAUGCCACCUACUCUUAUACACAUCAGUCAUAAAAAUAAUUUCUCCAUACAGAAUGUACCCUGUAAGUUUGUUGCAAAUGAGCACCUAUAUUGUGUAAAGGCUUUGUCUUGGCACCAAUUAUUCAUCUAUUGUUGGCUUUGGCACUAUAGAAAAAACCAGGUCUGAGUGCAUUUGCUAGUGACCCUGCAUCGGCUGCAAAAUCUCUUCAGUCACUUCUGGAGAAAGCUGAGGAUGUAGUUCCAAUGGAUUUGCGCAGUAACACACCAGUCAGAGUUGGGGCAACUGCAGGCUUGAGGCAGUUGGGAGGUAAUACAUCUGACAAGAUUCUUCAAGCGGUGAGGGAUUUUCUUAAGAGCAAAAGCAGCCUCAAGUCAAAGGGGAGUUGGGUUACUGUUCUUGAUGGGAGUCAGGAAGGUGCUUAUCAAUGGGUCACCAUUAAUUAUUUGCUAGGCAAUUUGGGUCGGAAAUAUUCUGAUACUGUUGGAGUGGUUGAUCUUGGAGGUGGCUCAGUACAAAUGGCAUAUGCCAUCUCAGAGUUAGAUGCUCAAAAGGCUCCAAAGCUAUCAGUUGGAGAAGAUACGUAUGUGCAAGAGAUGUAUCUCAAGGGGGCAAAAUAUUACCUCUACGUUCACAGUUAUUUGCGCUAUGGAUUGCUUGCAGCUCGAGCUGAGAUUCUGAAGGUGACUAAGGAAUCUGGCAGUCCUUGCAUCUUGACAGGGCAUCAUGGAUCCUACAAGUAUGGAGGAAAGGUUUACCCAGCAUCGGCUAUGUCUGAGGGUUCAAGCAUGACAAAUUGUAGGUUGGUAGCCCUGAAGGCUCUGAAAGUUAAUGAAUCAACAUGCACCCACAUGAAAUGCACCUUUGGUGGAGUGUGGAAUGGUGGAGGCGGAGAUGGUCAGAAGAAUAUGUUUGUCGCCUCGUUUUUCUUUGAUAGAGCUGUUGAGGUUGGUUUUGUUGAUCCAAAUGUAGCUGUUGCUAAAGUUCGCCCAAUCGAUUUUGAGAGUGCAGCUAGACGUGCUUGUGAUACUAGACUUGAUGAUGCCAAAGCUACAUUUCCUAGUGUGGAGUCAGAUAACUUGCCAUACUUGUGCAUGGAUCUUGUCUACCAAUACACACUACUUGUAGAUGGAUUUGGGCUUGAUGCUCGUCAAGAAAUGACAUUGGUGAAAAAGGUGAAAUACAAGAAUUCACUAGUUGAAGCAGCAUGGCCGUUAGGUAGUGCCAUUGAAGUCGCGUCAUCAAUGAAUUAACUUGAGAGAUUCAAGAUUUAAACAUCCAGUUUUGCCUUUUGUUAGCUUGUGGGCUAUCAGCUAUCUCUGACCUGCAACUAGGCUCUUCUUGCUCGAGAAGAUUAUCCUUGCCAUAUAGUUAGUUGGAUGCCUGGUCCAAGCAAAUCGUGAUUGUUUCCCCUUUUAUUCCAAGGGGUUGGGUGGUUAAAAAUAAUGAAAAAAUCUGUUUGUG